UGAAAAGUUUAAAAUCUUUCCUCUACCAUUUAGAGAAGCAUUUUCAUAUUUGACUCCUUGAGUUAAACUUAUUGAAAAUUUCUGGAAUGGUUUUCUGAAUUCUCCCUACUUCUGGUCAUGCACUAUGGUCUGUUUUCUCCUACAUACCCUGAAUGAUUCUAUUAAAAACGUGGUGUGCCAUUAGCAAGAUACAAAAAGGAAAAUAUGACAGGAUAUAUCCUUAUAUUUAGGAAGCUGCACCCAGGUAAGAAGAGAAACUGGGAAAUUAUGCCACAAUAAUAAAGGGAGUAUUUCAUAAUCAUCAAAAUAAUGUACUUGUUUCUUCAAACUGAAAGCAAAGUUUCUAGUAUUGUUAAUAUGCUGAAGACAAUGUGUUCUGGCCAGACACAAUGGAUUUUGAUUAGCUCAUAGUGAAUGCACGUCAAAGAAAAUUUACUUCAGUCAGAUACAUCAGGCAACACAUCAGGAGGGAUCAAAUGUACCAAAUGGCCACUUGUUUGGAAAUUGAAGCACGGAGUAAAACCCUGUACCAACUCUUUCUCUAACUUUUAUGAGUAUAUUUCUACUUUAGUUUCUUUAUUUGAGAGCAAUUUAGUCAGAUGCAACUCAAAGGAAAUGUUAUGAUCAUAAAAUAACUAAACAUGAAGCUUUUUUUGUUUGUUUUCCAUGAAUAAGCUUAGGCUAAACAUGAUCAAUAUGAAAUCCUGUUUGCAACCUUGAUAUAU